rnacentral:ncRNA from 2 species
GUUCUUUCACAGAUAGCCGGUGCCGGUUUAAAAGCCGGAGAAUAGGGAAGUACGUGAGAUUCGUACACUGUGCCCGCAACUGUAACGCGGUUUACUGUUUCGUGCCGUGCAUGGCCACAUGCGCAGAACGGACAGGCGUUGCCGAUCACUGCGAUUUUUCCUCCCGGAAAAGCGUGGGAAGAACGGUGACAGACGUAUGCCGCCAAAGUCAGGAGACCUGCCAGCUAUGCUAUUGCACU